GUGAAUCAUCAAAUCUUUGAACGCACAUUGCACUCUCCUCGGAGAGUAUGCCUGUUUUUGGGUCAGCCUAUAUAAAAUCGACAUCGUUGCUGUUUGGUGGUGACGUUCGUCGGUUAUUGGGUCAUCUUAAUUCCUUUUGGUUUUCAGCGAAUUAAAAAUUUCUUUUUGGUUCCAUGAACGUUUCUAAGGUUUAUUUCUUUACAUGUUUACGGUAUCGUUUUUUAUUAGACGUGACCAUCAUAUCGGAUCGCGUCCAUAAUCUUUCAUUAACUGACCUCAGUCAUGUA
rnacentral:misc_RNA from 1 species